rnacentral:lncRNA from 1 species
UUGUUUUUCAGAUUGUAUCUGUCAUUCUGCAUUUUUAUCCCAAAAAUUCAACGUAUCUUGGAACUGAUCCUUUUCUGGUUUACACAGAUGAAGAUCAGGAAUAACUCUAUCAGAAUCAAAGACACCAGUCCUUCUGGCCACAGUUUCUGAGAGCUUCUCAGCAAGGCACAGAGCUCAGCUGGACUUGGCUGUGACACCAGGCUAUCAGCAUCAGCCUUAGCAACAUUGCCCCAGCAUCCUCGAACUGAGCUGGGGGACCUCUGAGAACCAGAUCAACCUUUGUCAGUGUUUUCUUAGGCCCUGAGGAACAGAUCAAGAGAAAUGCCAGAGAAAGAGCAUGAGGAGGGAAGUGAAUAAUGUCUGAUCUUUAUAACAGACAGAUUCUGAGCAAUGGUGUUCAUCUGCAUGUUCAGUUUUUCUUCACAUGAAAGAGGAGGUAUUCUACAGUCUAGAUGUUGAUGUCUUUACUCAGUUUGGAGCAGAUUCUACAUGUUACUUCUCUGAGAUUAAUGGAGAAAGCUAAAUAAGGGUAUCAAGCUCCUAUUCCAUGAUUCUUUAUAGUUCUCU